AGUGAAGAGGGAAGAGCUCAAAUUUGAAAGCUGGUACCUUCGGUAUCCGCGUUGUAACCUCGAGACACGUUUUCCGUGCGGCGCUAUGGACAAGUUCCUUGGAACAGGACAUCGUAGAGGGUGAAAAUCCCGUACUUGCCAUGGAUGUACCGUGCUUUGCGAUACGUGCUCUAAGAGUCGAGUUGUUUGGGAUUGCAGCUCAAAAUGGGUGGUAGACUCCAUCUAAAGCUAAAUAUCGGGGAGAGACCGAUAGCGAACAAGUACCGUGAGGGAAAGAUGAAAAGCACUUUGGAAAGAGAGUUAAAAGUACGUGAAAUUGUCGAAAGGGAAGCGCUUGAAGUCAGCCAUGCCGCUCAGGACUCAGCCUGGCUUUUGCUUGGUGUAUUUCCUGGGUAGCAAGUCAGCAUUGGUUUGGAUCGUCGGAGAAGCAUAGUCGGAAUGUGGCGCCCUCGGGCGUGUUAUAGCCUUCUAUUGGAUACGACGAUCUAGACCAAGGAACGCAGCGCGCCUUAUGGCGGGUCUUCGGACAC
rnacentral:rRNA from 1 species